rnacentral:lncRNA from 1 species
AUAUAAAUGAAGGUCUCCCACAUUAUUUAGAGUAACUUUAAGCUAAGAAAACUUAUUGCUUCCAUCUAACAUCUUUACUAAGCCUUAAAAAGCAUCUUAGUGUGAGAAAAGUGCAAAAAUUCUUGUUGUAUCAAAUUUUCUCUUGAUAUUCUUCUUAAUCUUGAUUUGUGCUUCAAAUUAGCAAACAUCCAACCUUAGAGAGGUUUUUUGAGUUUACAAAAUACUUCAAAAAGUAGCAUUGUGAGGUUGUAAGCUUAAGGGGGAGGAUAACCCUUAAGAAAUUGUGUUGUUGAUUGUAUAAAACUUUGAAAAGUUAGGUUGUAACUUUCAACACAGAGUAGAUUGAAUUAUUUGGCAAGUAAGGCUAAGGGAGAGGAUUUAGUUGCCUAUAGGAACGGUCGAACCUUUAUAAAUUUUGGUGUUUGAUUUUCUACCUCUAUCACUUGCUUUUAAGAUUAUUAGUACUCAUAUUUGUUAUGUUUACUUGUUUAAAAAAAUUGAUUUAUGAUUUUUGUGCUUGUUGGAUAUUGAAUUCACAAAAAUUUACUAUUAACAAAUUUACUCUCCUCUUGGUUUAAUUAAAGUAUUUAAGUUAACAAUUGAUAUCAGAGCUAGUAUUAUAUUUUGUAUGUCUAACAACCUAAGAGUGAUCUUAUAAAUAGCGAAAAGAAGUAUGGUGAUCAAUGUGGAGUAAUCAUCUUCAAGCUACAACAAAUAUAGUGGGUAACAAGAAAUAUGUUUCAUGAAAAAUGAAACGAUUGCUACGUCUCUUAGAAGUGAAGGCCAUUCAAUUGAAAGACCUCUUUUUUUGUUGGUGACAACUACUUAUAUUGGAAAACUAGGAUAAAAUUAUUUAUUCAAGCCAAUGACUAUGAAAUUUAGAGGGUCAUUGUAAAUGGUCCUCAAAUUCUAAUAAAGAUAGUGGAUGGUAGAGAGGUGAUCAAGUAAGAAAGUGAAUAGAAUGCCAAUGAUAUGAAGAUGGCUCAACAGAAUGCCAAAGCAAUUCCUACACACUUUUGUGUUUUGGGGCCUAGUAAGUACAAUAGAGUUUCAUUAUGUGAAAAGGAAAAGAAAAUUUAAGACAAGUUGGCCAUCACUCAUGAAGGUACUAAUCAAGUGAAAGAAACCAAAAUUGACAUGCUUACUGAAGAGUAUAAGCUAUUCAAGAUGAAAUCAGAAGAAACCAUUAGUGAAAUGUCAAACCACUUCACUGACAUUAUUAAUAGUUUGAAGGCUCUUGGGAAGACUUACUCAAAUGUAGAGAUGAUGAAAAAAAUUUUAAAUAGUCUACCAGAGAGCUAAUAAGCUAAGAUGACAGCCAUUGAAAAGUUUAAAGAUUUUCACAUACUUUCUUUAGAUGAACUCAUAGUCUCUCUUUUUACCUAUGAGAUAAAGCUCAAAAGAGGAUAAAAACCAAUAAAGAAAGGUGGUAUUGCUCUCAAAUCAACCUUUCAAGAAGAUGAAGAAAAACUUGAGCAAGAUGAGGUUGAUGAAGAUGAAGAAAUGACCAUGUUUGUAAAAAAGUUCAAGAAGUUCAUGAAGAUGAAUAUGUUCUCAAACAAAAUAAGACCAUAAAAAGAAAUGAUCAAAAGGGAAUCAAGUAGAAGAGAAAUGGAUCAAAUUGUUUGCUAUGAUGCAACAGAGAGGGUCAUAUCAAAGUCGAUUGUCCUUUAUGAAAGAGGCAAAACACAAUGAAGCCAAAGAAUAAAGCAAUGGUUGCAACGUGAAGUGCUAGUGACUGCUUCGAUGAUGAAUCAAAUGAGGAAGAAGUAGCCAACCUAUGUCUUAUUGCUUUUGAUAAGCCCAAGGUAAUUUUUAAUUCAAAUGAUUUAAGUUCAUACAUAUUAAUUGCAAGAUGCUUUUUAAUGAAUUAGCUAUAAAAUUUGAAAGCAUGAAACUGAAGUAUAGGAAAAUGAUUUGUAAGUUAAAGGUAGUGAAUGAGCUUUUGACUAAAGCAAAGGAUGACAUAAAAAAGGAAAUUUGAGCUUUUACAAUUGAAUGUUGAUGAUUUGACUAAGAAAAAUGAGAAUUUGCAUAACUUAUUUUUUAGAUUUUAUAUGGGACAUCAAAAACUCAAUGACAUGCUUGAAACACAAAAAACAUUCUUUGAUAAAGAUGGAUUAGGCUAUAAUGUGGUGACAAAGAGACUCAUUUGAAGAAAUUUCCUUACUAGGCCAAAUAUUCAUUAACACAUGUACAUAUUGUCAUUAAAUUAAGGUCAUCUUAAGGGGGACAAUAUUGUUCCUUAAGAAAGUCACUCAUAUAAGUAAACUCAUUAAGGAGUGUUGGAUCUCUAAAAGGAGUUAGCAACGAUCUGAAGAUGGAUUACUAGGAUGAAGUGGAUUCCAAAAGGCACAAGAAUUAAUGAGUGUUAACAACAAAUCAAAGUCUCAAGAAAGGUUAUGGGUACCCAAAGACAAACUUUGAUUAUAUUUUUGUAGAUGGAUGAACAUUGCUAGCAGGUAAAUUUAAGCAAGAACAUAAUCCACUGCGAUACCAUAGAUAAUAGGAUUCAUCGAUAGCAUGUGAUCGGAGACAAGGCUCAAUUCAAGGAUUUAAAGGCUAAAAAUGAAGGAGAUGUUACAUUUAGAGACAACUCCUAAGGCCAAGUUGAAGGGAUUAGCUUCAUUGAUAACAAUUCUUCUACUACUAUUAAAAAUAUUUUACUUGUGAAAAGAACCAAGCGUAAUUUACUUAGUAUUAGUCAAUUGUGUGACAAAAGACUUAGAGUUGUAUUUGAAUCCAUGUGCUGUUGAGUGAUUGAUAUCAAGACUAACAAACUUGUUUUUGUUUGACAUCAUCAAGAAAAUGUUUAUGUGGUACAUUUGGAUGAUCUAUUUUUAAAAAUAUUUGCUUUAUGGCUAAAAAAAAUAAAAGUUGGAUUUAGCAUAGAAGACUUGGACAUGUAAGUAUGCACGUAAUUUCAAAACUUUUUCAAAAUGAUUUAGUCGUUGGUUUACCAAAAUUGAAAUAUGAAAAUGAUAAGGUUUGUAAUGCAUGUGCUCAAGGAAAACACAAAAAAAUCCCUUUCAAACUUAAGAAUUAUAUUUCAACUAUUAGACCUCUUCAACUAUUUCAUAUUGAUCUUUUUGGUCCUACGAGGACAAUAAGCCUUGGUGGAAAAUAAUAUGAGUUUGUUAUUGUUUAUCAUGUUACUAAAUAUACAUAUGUUCUCUUCUUGCAUUCAAAGAAUGAAGCUUUGGAAAAAUUUAUCACUUUUAGCAAACAAAUACAAAAUGAGAAAGAUUAUUCAAUUUUUAGUAUAAAAAAUGAUCAUAGAAAAGAAUUUAAAAACCUUGGUUUUAAUUUGUUUUAUAGUGAAAAUGGUAUUAGCCAUAAUUUUUUUGCUCCUAGAAUUCUUCAACAAAAUGGGGUAGUAGAAAGGAGAAAUAGAACUUUAGAAGAAAUGGCUAGAACCAUGCUUUAUGAAAAUAAUUUACCUAGAUAUUUUUGGAUAAAAACCAUAAAUACCUAUUGUUAUAUUAUAAUUAUGUUGCUUUUCUCUCUCACAUUGAACCUAAGAACAUACAUGCAGCAUUUGAAGAUAAUCAUUAGAUAUUGGCUAUGUAAGAGGAAUUGAACCAAUAUGAAAAAAGUCAAGUGUGAAAUAACCAAUAUGAAAAAAGUCAGUGUGGAAUCUUGUACCUAAGCCUAGUGAUCAUUCCAUUAGAGGAACUAAAUGAGUUUUUACGAAUAAAAUGGAUAAGCAUGGCAGUGUUGUUAAAAACAAAGCUAGGUUAAUGGCUCAAAGGUAUAGUCAAGAAGAAGGAAUUUACUAUGAUGAAACUUAUGCUCCGAUUGCAAGAUUAGAAGUCAUUAAAAUGUUACUUGCAUUUGCAUGUUUCAAAGAUUUCAAGCUCUUUCAAAUGAAUGUCAAGAGUGCAUUUCUAAAUGAUUUUAUAAAUAAAGAGGUGUAUGUAGAGCAACCUCUUGAUUUUGAAAAUCUUCAAUUUCCAAAUCAUGUUUAUAGAUUGACAAAAGCUUUAUAUGACUUAAAACAAGCUCUUAGAGCUUGAUAUGAAAGAUUAUCAAAGUUUUUAAUUGAAAAUGAUUUUAAUAGAGGAAAUGUUGAUACUACACUUUUUAUUAAAACAAAAAGAAAAGACAUUCUCAUUGUGUUAGUUUAUAUUGAUGAUAUUAUAUUUGGUGCUACUAAUGAAGUUCUUUGCCAAGAAUUUGCUAAAACUAUGCAAGAUGAAUUUGAAAUGAGCAUGACGGGAGAGCUUACAUUCUUCUUGGGAUUACAAGUAAAGCAAACAAAAGAUGGUACCUUCAUCAAUCAAGCUAAAUACAUCAAGGACUUGCUAAUAGGGUUUGGAUUGGAAGAAUCAAAGCCUUACUCAACACCUAUGAGCACUUCAACAAAACUUGACAAGGAUGAAGGAGGUAAAUGUAUUGAUUUUAAAUUACAUAGGUCUAUAUUGGUUCAUUGUUAUAUCUUACUGUAAAUAGACCAGAUAUAAUGUUUAGUAUGUGCUUAUAUGCUAGAUUUCAAUCAUUACCUAGAGAAUCACAUUUACUUGCUCUUAAAAGAAUUUUUAGAUACCUUAAAGACAUUCCCAACUUAGGAUUAUGGUAUCCAAAAGGUUCAUCUUUUGUUUUGCAUACUUAUUGUGAUGCAAAUUUUGGUAGUUAUAAAAUUGAUAGAAAGAGCACUUCUGGUCCUUGUCAAUUGUUUAAGAAAAUACUCAUAUCAUGGUUUUUCAAGAAACAAAAUAGUAUUGCUCAAUCCACAACUGAAGCCGAAUAUGUAGCGGUCAAUAGUUGUUGUGCUCAAGUUUUAUAGAUUAAACAAUAAUUGAAGGAUUUUGGAAUUACCAUGGAUCAUAUUCACAUUAAAUGUGAUAAUACUAGUGCCAUCAAUCUUUCCAAAAAUCCCAUUCAACAUUCAAGAACUAAGCAUAUUGAAAUUAGGCAUCAUUUUAUUAGAGAUAUGUUCAAAAAGGUCAUAUUGUGCUUGAAUAUAUUGAUAUAUUACAUCAAUUAACUGAUAUUUUUACAAGAUCUCUUGAUAAAGAUAGAUUUUAUAUAAUUAGAGGUGAACUUGGUAUGAUGAAUGCUCUUUGAAAUGAAAGUUUAGAUAAAUUGAUAAAUUUGUACCUUGUUUAACCAAAUGUGUGUUUAUCUUAAUAUACUUUUGAAAUCUUGUCUAUGAUUAUAUUUGUAAUUAUAUGAUGCAUAUUUGAAUAGUUAUAUUACAUGUUUUUAAAAAUAAAAAAAAAUUUUAAUUUAAAUUUAAAUUAAAAAAAAUUUGCUACAAGUGAACUAAUCGAUCCUAGAGACACUAGAUCGAUUGGUUUUCUUUUUAGUAGCCAAAAUAAAGUUGAAAACCUCAAACCCGAUCGAUCCUCCUUGGACCCGAUCAAUCAAUUCAUAGCUUGCUUAGGUGCAUCAAGGCCUUACCCAAUUGAUCCCCUUGCUACCCAGUUGAUCGGGUUAUGAAUGGUCUCCUAUAUACACACUGUUUUGACCACUUAAAAAUCUGGACUUUCCUCUUUCCUUGGUUGACCUUAGUCUAUUUUUGUUCUUCUUAAAAUUUUCUCCUAAAACCCCAAGUAUUCAUGCUUCACUUUUCUUUUAAAAUUGAUCACUUUCAACUAAAAUCUUUUGUAAAUUUCUUCAUAUCUGUUUGAUUUCUUGCAAAAUCUUUUUCAAAAAUUAUUCAAAUCAUAUAAAAAUCUUCACUCAUGUUUCUCCCUCUAGAAAUUUGAUCCUUUUUUGUGCCUCUAUUGAAACUAUCUCAUUCACUAAAUUUUUUUGCCUUUCUCAAACAUAUAAUACUACUUGUUACCUACAUUCACAGAUUCCUUCACAUAGACCUACCUAUUUUCACUAUUUCAUUGUUUCCAUGGCACCUAAAACAAGACCUUCUCUUGCCACAAAGAGAAGUCCACCAAGGGAAGCCUAUAGUUCUUUAAUCAAGCCUUCUUUCAACUAAAAUUUCAAAAAUUCUACAACAAAAGAAAGAUAUGAGACUCAUUUUGCUUAUAGAGAAGUCAAACAAGGAAGGGUAAUCAAUCUUAAUUUCUUUAAAUCCAUUGGAUUUCCAUACUUUCAUUCUUUUGAGAAUUUUGAUUGGAUGAACUAUUUUAGUUUGAAUGGCAUUGUCUUUGAGAAUCUAGUAAGGGUAUUUUAUAGUAAUGUAAACUGUAUUAAAGUUGAUGGACAUGAGAAUAGGUAUUAUACUAAUAAAUUUAGGACAUUUGUGAUGGGUAGAGAAAUAAUUGUGGAUAAAAGCUUGUUGGCUGAAACUUUCAUGUUAGAAGAUAAUGGAGACAUAAACAGUAGAUGUGAUAUACUAUUGGCCUAAGAUAUUUUUAAGAAUGAUGAUUUGAGGGCUUCUCUAACUCAGGCUUCUAGGUUGAACACGCAUGAUAGAUUGUUUUAUCUUAUUGUCACACAUGUGUUAGUACUAUUUGAAACCCAAUACUUCAUUAGAAAAGCAAGAUUAUUGGUGGAUAUAUAAGAUCAAACAUAAGAAGAAGCCCAAUAUUGUGCACUUUAUUUUUAAUGAUAUGAUAAAGGUUGUUCAAAACAAGGACUACACUUUGGUAUAUGGAAUAGCCAUUUGCAAUCUAUUUAGGAGGGUGGGUAUCAAUCCUAGAAGUGAUAGAAAAAUUGUGUCCAAUCCUACUAGUAUUAUUAGAGUUCAUACAUUUCAUAGUAUGGGAUACAUUCAAAAUGUUAUUGGGGUAUGGAUUAAGAAAAGUUAACUUAGAGUUAAGCAUGAAGAAAAUCACAAGGUUCAAGAUUUUUCUCAAGAAGUUCCAUAAGAUAUUCCUCGAGAAGGUUUUUCUAUCCACCAUUUGAUACCCAGAGAGCUUUACAAAUUUUUGUGACUCAAAUGAACAAUUUACACUUAUUGGUUGGGGAUAUGAACUCUACAUUGGAAAACAUGGAAUUAACACAAAAUAAGAUGGUUUCAUAAGUUCAAUAAGUUAGGACUAAUAUUGGACAAAUUUGAAUUGCAUAAAAGCAAAUAGAGCAGCAAUUUCAUCAUUUUUCUCCUAUCCUCCUCCACCUUGACCUAUCCUUUAAGCCAAGCUUAAAUGUUUUUUUCCUACAUGUUUUUCUUUUAUGUUUUUUUUUAAGAUUUUAAUUUCUUCAAGCUAAUUUAUUGUAGCAUCAAUUUGGUACUUUGCACUAAGGGCAUGAACUUUAGUGGUAUGAACUUUUCUUUGCUUGCUUGUGUGGUUUUGAGAUUCAAAGUUUAUUGUAAAUGAUUAUGUUGCUAUGAAUGUGCUAUUAUGGUUAUUCUCAUUCUUGAUGUUAUGAUGCUAAGUUGAGCUAUAGUACUGACAUUCAAUAAUAUGGGCUUUAUGUUGAAUAUAAUAUUGUUGCCUUGAAUUGAUUGAGCAAGUUGAUCUUACAUUGGUUAUAGUAUUAUUACCUUGCUUUUGGAUUUUUCUUUUUUUUGCUAUGACAAAAAGGGGAAAAGUUAGUUUGUGUAUUGUGAAAAUUUACUAGUGAAGAGUUUUGCUAAAUUAUUAUGUUACUAGUUGAUAAAUUUUUAAUUGCUUGGGAGACUUCUACCUUAUAUAUUUGUUUUGCUCACAAUGCAAAAUUGGCCUUUUAAUUUUCUUGAUCUUAUUUAAAUUCAGGGGGAACUUUCUUAAAAAAGAAAAAUGUUUUCAAAGCAAAUUUUUUUUUACUAUUGAUUUUGUCAUAUAAAAAAGAGAGAGAUUGUUAGCCUUGAAUUGAUAAAACACUUUAAAAUGAUAAAACAAAAAUUUGCUAAAGUUGAAUUAAAAUGAUUUAAAAUUAAUUUGAAUACCUUUUCAAUUUUCAAUCUAGUCAAAAAUAUGUUUAAAUUUAUCCGGCAUGUUUUAAAAGUAAAAUUGGGCUAAGUAGCAUAGAAGGGAUUAAUCCCCCCUUAUGGGGAUUGAUUGAGUUUUUGGCCAAAAAAGAUUUUCCUGUAAGUUUCAUGAAAACCAAUCGAACCCUUCCUUGUAUGGAUCGAUUGAUUACAAGUUUUUAAAGAUAGGAUUGAUCCCUUCUUGAAGGGAUCGAUUGGCUUUUUGCACAGAGUGAAAUGUUUGUUCUAUAAUUUAAAAAGAGAUUGAACACUUAGACUAAAGGAUCGAUCACCUGAAAAAGGAAUCGAUUGGUACCAAAUAUGAAUCAAUUGGUUGCAUCUUUUUUUGCAAAACUCUGCAUGUAUUUUGACUAACCUAAUUGAUCCCCCCAAUAGGGGAUCGAUCCCUUUAUGCCCAAAAUACUUACAAUGGCUAGUUUUGCCUAAAAUUUUGCAAAAGCUCUAAACAAUUAAUGCAAGCAAUGGUUAUCUUCCAUUCUCAACAUAUAAAUGAAAGGUUUCUCACUACAUUUGGAGUAACUUAGAGCCAAGAAAACUUAUUGCUUCCAUCUACCAACUUCACCAAGCAUUAAAGAGCAUUUUAAUGUGAGAAAAAUGCAAAAAUUCUUGUUGUAUCAAAUUUUCUCUUGAUAUUCUUCUUAAUCUUGAUUAAUACUUCAAAUUAGCAAAUACCUAACCUUAGAGAGGUUCUUUGAGUUUGUAAAACACUUCAAAAACUUGCAUUGUGAGGUUAUAAG